CUUCCAAAUUCUGCCGCAGCAGAUAGCUGAUACUCCGUGUUAUCUUUUGCGGCAGGAUUUUAAAG
rnacentral:pre_miRNA from 13 species